UACGUAGGGACCAAGCGUUGUUCGGAUUUACUGGGCGUAAAGGGCGCGUAGGCGGCUUGACAAGUCACUUGUGAAAUCUCCGGGCUUAACUCGGAACGGCCAAGUGAAACUGUCAUGCUAGAGUGCAGAAGGGGCAAUCGGAAUUCUUGGUGUAGCGGUGAAAUGCGCAGAUAUCAAGAGGAACACCGGUGGCGAAGGCGGUUCUCUGGGCAUGUCCUGACGCUGAGGAGCGAAAGUGUGGGGAGCGAACAGG
rnacentral:rRNA from 1 species